rnacentral:misc_RNA from 1 species
CAACACUCAAGCUCUGCUUGGUAUUGGGCCCUGCCAGCAACGGCAGGCCUUAAAAUCAGUGGCGGCGCCAUCUGGCUCUAAGCGUAGUAAUACUCCUCGCUACAGAGUCCCGGUGGAUGCUUGCCAGCAACCCCCAACUUUCUAA